rnacentral:rRNA from 1 species
UACGUGGGGGCAAGCGUUGUUCGGAAUUACUGGGCGUAAAGGGCUCGUAGGCGGCCAACUAAGUCGGACGUGAAAUCCCUCGGCUUAACCGGGGAACUGCGUCCGAUACUGGAUGGCUUGGGUUCGGGAGAGGGAUGCGGAAUUCCAGGUGUAGCGGUGAAAUGCGUAGAUAUCUGGAGGAACACCGGUGGCGAAGGCGGCAUCCUGGACCGACACUGACGCUGAGGAGCGAAAGCCAGGGGAGCAAACGGG